CUCUGACAGAGGUGGUUCAGCGCCCUUAGCUCAAGCACAUCCGGUGACAGCUCUAAGCCAGAACCUAAGGGGGCCAGAAGCUGGGAUCCAAGUCUACUUGUCCCACCCCCUCCACUGGAACUCCCUGGCCCCCAGCUCUGCACAGCUCCUGCCCUGCAGCCCUCGCCUGGCUGUGCUCCGGGAAGUCCUCGUGGGCACUUCACCCUGCUCUGCAGCCACACUCACACCCUAGAUCCAGGUCACACUAGGUAUGAUUUGCUUCUCCUGGCCUUUCCUCUCACCAGCCCCGCUAUCACCUCAUUUAGAAGGCAGGUAUGAUUUUCAUUUUCUAGGCUCAGAGAGUUUGCGCAGGGCCACACAGCUGGGUCCCCAAGCCUCUCUAUGUGAGGUCGUCUGGGCACAGGGCUUGGGGAACCCAAGACUGAGGCCAGUGACAGCAAGCUCUGGAUGGCCAUCCACUCCUCUGGGGCUAUACCUGUAGGGCAAGGAUGCCAAGCGCUGCCUCUCCUGCAAGCCUUCACCUCUGGACACUUCUCUUUUUUGAGACAGAGUCUCAUUCUGUCGUCCAGGCUGGAGUGCGGUGGCACGAUCUCAGCUCACUGCAACCUCCGCCUCCCGGGUUCAAGUGAUUCUCGUGCCUCAGCCUCCUGAG
rnacentral:lncRNA from 1 species